rnacentral:rRNA from 1 species
UACGUAGGGGGCGAGCGUUGUCCGGAUUUAUUGGGCGUAAAGAGCUCGUAGGCGGUUCCGUGAGUCGGCUGUGAAAUCUCCACGCUCAACGUGGAGGGGUCAGUCGAUACUGCGGUGACUCGAGUCCGGAAGAGGCGAGUGGAAUUCCUGGUGUAGCGGUGGAAUGCGCAGAUAUCAGGAGGAACACCGAUAGCGAAGGCAGCUCGCUGGGACGGUACUGACGCUAAGACGCGAAAGCGUGGGGAGCGAACAGG